AUUGAACGCUGGCGGCAGGCCUAACACAUGCAAGUCGAACGAGUGGCGGAAGGGUGAGUAAUGUCUGGGAAACUGCCUGAUGGAGGGGGAUAACUCCUGGAAACGGUAGCUAAUACCGCAUACCAUCAGAUGUGCCCAGAUGGGAUUAGCUAGUUGUGGGGGUAACGGCGCACCAAGGCGACGAUCCCUAGCUGGUCUGAGAGGAUGACCAGCCACACUGGAACUGAGACACGGUCCAGACUCCUACGGGAGGCAGCAGUGGGGAAUAUUCCACAAUGGGCGCAAGCCUGAUGCAGCAAGGCCGCGUGUAUGAAGAAGGCCUUCGGGUUGUAAAGUACUUUCAUCGGGGAGGCGUUACCCGCAGAAGAAGCACCGGCUAACUCCGUGCCAGCAGCCGCGGUAAUUC
rnacentral:rRNA from 1 species